CGUGUGACGCCGCAGGCCGCGGCGGAGCUGGGGAUUAAUGGGAAAAGUUUUGACAGGAGCUGGGGGAUUCUGCGGAGCCUGCGGGACGGCGGCGGCGGCGGCGGGAGAGGCGGCUGGAACAGCGCUGUGCAGCAGCGUGGUUAUGCGUGUGGGACUCGCCCAGAGGCUCCUGCUCACUGACAGAUGAGGACAAACCCACGGUAAAGAGCAUGGAAGGCCUGGCAGGUCUCCUGGGAUUACAUCACUUCCUGUUGCCUUUAGGAAGCCCUCUCUGUACUCCGCAGUGUGUCAGGAACGGGCAUGCUCUGGUGAGGGAGUGGUGGGUAACGUGUGCGUGAGAGGUGUGGGCUCCGGGUGUGGCCAUCAAAGCCUUCUGAAGUCAUCAGGAGAGGUGACUCCGAAGCCGUGUGCCCUCAGAAAUGUCAGUGAGGAACACUUCCAGGAAGUCUGAUGUAGUCUGCCCAGCUGCCUGUCCCCUCCCACAGCUGUGCGUGCUGCCUGAGUCACCCCAGCGGGGAGCCCUGCUACUCUCCACACACUUCCUGUCUGGGAAA